GAACAGCUGCGCGCCCGCCUAGCGCUGCGAACCCGGAGUGAGAGGCGCUUCAGAGACUGGAGGGACGGACCUGCAGGAGCCAGGGCUGCCCGCCGAGCUGCAGUUGCCGCUACUGCCGCUGUCAGCGCCCGACUGAAGAGUGACAGCCGCAAAAGCAGGAGUGAGCACCGAACCCCGCGCUUCUACCUAACAGGUGCAUGCGCCGAUCUGGUGAGUGGACCCAGCUCACAAGAUCUCAGGUAACCAUUCAUGAGCCUGAGGCUGUGAGAAAUGCUCGCUGUGCAAAGGGGAACUCUCACCAGAUUUUCUGAAACUGUUCUAGAAAUACACUUUUCGGAUUGAUUCAGCAUUACCAGCUUAUCCAACAAAAGUAUUAACAUAUACAUUAACAACGUCGAAAGUAGCCUACUUUAAGAGAAAAUAUGCAGAAGAAGAAGAUUUACAUCAAGAUUACCAUGGGUAUUUUCCAAAACACCUGAUAUUACCUGAGGACAGAACUUGCAUUCUCAAACUUUCUCUGGAGAAGCUCAGGUUUCUUGAAGACCCAGAAACCUACUUAAGAAGGUCUGUGUUAAUUAACAAUUUGCUGAGGAAGAUACAUCUAGAGACGGAGAAAGAGAGCUAUGAAUACUUUAAAGAAGCUCCCUGUUAUAAGACUGCAUAUUCUGAUACAAGAAAACGGCUGAAGUUUAUGGUACAGGAAUGCUGUUCUCAGUCUCUCUAUUAUGAAGAGCUGCAUUCGUAUCAUAUUGUGCCUUAUGCUUCGGAGAAUGCCAUUUAUGAAAUGGGCUACACUAGCAGCCACUUGGAGCAAAAUUCUCAGUUGCUUAUUUAUAAAAUGAAUUAAAGUAACUGUUAAGUCC
rnacentral:lncRNA from 1 species